AACGGACUAAAGCGGACAAUAUUUACUAGCGGUGAAUACGUUGGCAGGUAAAGUACAAGCUUGCAUCGAGGCUUCUUCUCUAGUUGAAUGGUAAGAACUCCCAUCAUUUUAAGGAUGAGAUUAAGUGAAUGUGAUGCUGAUAAUAGUUUCAUAUCUGAAAGAAUUUCUGAUUA